rnacentral:lncRNA from 1 species
UGAGCACAAGGCUCCAUCUUAUGAGUACAAGUCACCCCCACCUCCACCACCUUACAUUUACAAGUCUCCACCACCUCCACCCUAUGACCACAAGUCACCAUCUUAUAAGUAUAAGUCUCCCCCGCCUCCUACACCAUCACCCCCACCACCCUAUGUGUACAAGUCACCACCUCCUCCAUCACCAUCACCUCCACCACCUUACAUUUACAAGUCUCCACCACCUCCACCCUAUGAGCACAAGUCACCAUCUUAUGAGUACAAGUCUCCCCCGCCUCCUACACCAUCACCCCCACCACCCUAUGUGUACAAGUCACCACCUCCUCCAUCACCAUCACCUCCACCACCUUACAUUUACAAGUCUCCACCACCUCCACCCUAUGACCACAAGUCUCCAUCUUAUGAGUACAAGUCUCCCCCGCCUCCUUCACCAUCACCCCCACCACCCUAUGUGUACAAGUCACCACCUCCUCCAUCACCAUCACCUCCACCACCUUACAUUUACAAGUCUCCACCACCUCCACCCUAUGACCACAAGUCUCCAUCUUAUGAGUACAAGUCUCCCCCUCCUCCUUCACCAUCACCCCCACCACCAUAUGUGUACAAGUCACCACCUCCUCCAUCACCAUCACCUCCACCACCUUACAUAUACAAGUCUCCACCACCUCCACCCUAUGAGCGCAAAUCUCCAUCUUAUGAGUACAAGUCUCCCCCACCACCAUACGUGUACAAGUCACCACCUCCUCCAUCACCCCCACCUCCAUACAUAUACAAGUCACCGCCUCAACCACCUUAUGAACACAAGUCUCCACCAUACUAUUACAAGAGCCCUCCACCAC